rnacentral:rRNA from 1 species
UGGGGGAAUAUUGCACAAUGGGGCGCAAGCCUGAUGCAGCAAUGCCGCGUGAGGGACGACGGGCCUUCGGGUUGUAAACCUCUUUUAGUAGGGAAGAAGCGAAAGUGACGGUACCUGCAGAAAAACGCACCGGCUAACUACGUGCCAGCAGCCGCGGUAAUACGUAGGGUGCGAGCGUUGUCCGGAAUUAUUGGGCGUAAAGAGCUCGUAGGCGGUCUGUCGCGUCUGCCGUGAAAACCCGAGGCUCAACCUCGGGACCUGCAGUGGGUACGGGCAGACUAGAGUGCGGUAGGGGAGAAUGGAAUUCCUGGUGUAGCGGUGGAAUGCGCAGAUAUCAGGAGGAACACCGAUGGCGAAGGCAGUUCUCUGGGCCGUAACUGACGCUGAGGAGCGAAAGCGUGGGGAGCGAACAGGAUUAGAUACCCUGGGUAGUCCACGCCGUAAACGUUGGGCGCUAGAUGUGGGGACCAUUCCAUCGGUUUCCGUGUCGCAGCUAACGCAUU